rnacentral:rRNA from 1 species
GACGAACGCUGGCGGCGUGCCUAAUACAUGCAAGUUGAGCGCUGAAGGUUGGUACUUGUACCGACUGGAUGAGCAGCGAACGGGUGAGUAACGCGUGGGGAAUCUGCCUUUGAGCGGGGGACAACAUUUGGAAACGAAUGCUAAUACCGCAUAAAAACUUUAAACACAAGUUUUAAGUUUGAAAGAUGCAAUUGCAUCACUCAAAGAUGAUCCCGCGUUGUAUUAGCUAGUUGGUGAGGUAAAGGCUCACCAAGGCGAUGAUACAUAGCCGACCUGGGAGGGUGAGCGGCCAAAUUGGGACUGAGACACGGCCCAAACUCCGACGGGAGGCAGCAGUAGGGAAUCUUCGGCAAUGGACGAAAGUCUGACCGAGCAACGCCGCGUGAGUGAAGAAGGUUUUCGGAUCGUAAAACUCUGUUGGUAGAGAAGAACGUUGGUGAGAGUGGAAAGCUCAUCAAGUGACGGUAACUACCCAGAAAGGGACGGCUAACUACGUGCCAGCAGCCGCUGUAA